GGAUGACGCCCUGGGCUGAAGGCAGACGCUUAACCACUGAGCCACCCAGGAAGACCCGAGGGAGAGGGAGAGAGGAAAUCCUAAGCAGGCUUCAUGACCAGCCUGGAACCUGACACUGGACUCAAUCUCACAAACACUAAUGGACUGAGCCACCCAGCUUUCUUUUUCUUGGCGCAGACUCCCUGAUUAGUGUGGAACCUAUGUGUGGCUCGAUCCCAGGACCCGAGGCGAUGACCUGAGGGGAAACCAAGAGUGGUCACUCAACCGACUGAGCCACCCAGGCUCCCUUCUAUUAGGUUUGCAGUAAGCAUUGGCUACUGGCAAGACCCUCACAUCC